CGUGCUUAACACAUGCAAGUCGAACGAGAGGAGAAGGAAGCUUGCUUCUUUCAAAUCUAGUGGCAAACGGGUGAGUAACACGUAAACAACCUGCCUUCAGGAUGGGGACAACAGACGGAAACGACUGCUAAUACCGAAUACGUUCCUUAGGUCGCAUGACUUUAGGAAGAAAGGGUGGCCUCUACUUGUAAGCUAUCGCUUUGCGAUGGGUCUGCGUCUGAUUAGCUAGUUGGUGGGGCAACGGCCUACCAAGGCGACGAUCAGUAGCCGGUCUGAGAGGAUGAACGGCCACAUUGGAACUGAGACACGGUCCAGACUCCUACGGGAGGCAGCAGUGGGGAAUCUUCCGCAAUGGGCGAAAGCCUGACGGAGCAACGCCGCGUGAGUGAUGACGGCCUUCGGGUUGUAAAGCUCUGUGAUCGGGGACGAACGGUCAGCAGACGAAUACUCUGCUGAAGUGACGGUACCCGAAUAGCAAGCCACGGCUAACUACGUG
rnacentral:rRNA from 1 species